ensembl:lncRNA
ACACACACACAUACACACACACACACACACACACACACACACACACACACACACACACACACACACACACACACACCACACUCCUACAGAGACACAUAUGUUAAACUGCAUGGGGUGAACAAAUUAGAAAGCAAACCUGUUUCGAUGUCAGACAGAAAAUAAGACUUUUUGGGGGAGUAUCACAAUAAAAAAUCAAUUAUGUUCAGUUUUGAACAAACUGAUGUGGGAUUUUAUCAUUAGGAUUCUAUUAGACUUAGGCUGCUUAAAAAGUACAGUUCUGUGUUCAACACAAGCUUGGGGAGUGUUUCUUUAUUCUCAUCAAAUGUUUGAUAGUUGAAUCUGGACUCUUAUAACUGACAUACUACACAUUUAAAUCCUUGUCUCGUUGAUUAUGUGUCUAGAUUUGUACUCACAACAGUAGGUACAUGAGGAAAAGAAGGCCUCCGAUUGGAUAAGCCAGAUUGUCCGGUGUGACUUUCCCCUCCGUCAUUGGCUGGGUGACUUCUUAGGGGCGGGUGGUGGGGUAGGAUGGGGGAGCAGUGUACAUAAUUGGGUUUCCAUGGCAUUACCAACGAGUGUUGUUAGGGGUUCAUUGCCCAUAGCUGCCCAUCGAAGCAGAGGAAGCCAUUGUCUAUAGGUAGCCAUGGCAAUAGUUGCCGGGGUGUUGUCCAAAGCCAAGCCACAGGUUUGGCGGAUGGUUUCAGCACAACAUUAUAGGCGCAGACACAGACAUGGGCACUGGAUUAGCACUGCCAUGGGGCCCAGCGCCUAACAUUCCUCUGCUUUCCGACUGGGGUAAGCAGCUACUAGGCUCUGCUCGGGUGGCUGAGCCACAAUGGCCGCCUCUGGUAGCAGGGGUCAACUCCUCCGAAAGGAAGCCGACUUCCUUAAAACUGAAAACGUUUACUAGGGCAAAUUGACAUAUCUAAUAGGCAAUAUUCCCUUAACAUUUCAGAACAUAUAGCCCCAGAGAACGCUCUUGUUCGGGCUGUUUUGAGAUAGACAGCUGCUAGGGAUCUUCCUAAACCUUUCAGAACGUUUAUCCACAGUGAACGUGCCUCAGUCCCGCUAUGCAACGAUGAAGGGUAGAGAUGGAUGGUGAGGGAGCAGCUAGUUGAGGUGGAUGGUUUGCUUCUUCACCCCAUAGGUGAUAAAGGCCACAGCCUGUGAGGACACACAGCAGAUGUAGUUGAGAGACAGGCCUCUGUACAGACCCUUCUUCACCCCAUAGGUGAUAAAGGCCACAGCCUGUGAGGACACACAGUAGAUGUAGUUGAGAGACAGGCCUCUGUACAGACCCUUCUUCACCCCAUAGGUGAUAAAGGCCACAGCCUGUGAGGACACACAGUAGAUGUAGUUGAGAGACAGGCCUCUGUACAGACCCUUCUUCACCCCAUACUGACUGUAUACAAGAGUCUUGGUCAGGGUACUGUAGAGGGAGACAAGUGGGAAGACAAAGUUAUGCUUUAUUUUACAGUGCUUAGCAGGAACGUAUUUAUCAAUUACAUUGUAAUAUGUUAAUUACAUGAUAAUAAAAGAUAAAAAUCAGUUAGAGAUGUUUGGAACAGGUUAUUCUGCCAGUGCCAGUCUGUUUGGCUGGUUAAUACAGACAGAGACAUACACACAGGCUCGGGAAUGACAUCAUCAGACACACAAGCCCUCAUUGUAUGGAGUAGAACAUAGUAACUCAACAGUCUUACUCUGUGAGGAGGUUGUCUAGUAAAUAAUGACGGAGUAUCAGGUGCUGGAGUAAUUCCACUGCCACGGUACAGCAGGGUGAACUGUGAAAAGCAGGCCUGGUAUGCUGUAGUCUCCUUGAGGACCAACCAUGUUCACUCAUGACUGCAAGGCACGACUCAAUAAUACCCACACUCCACAAAACUCCUAUUGCCAAGCGAUUUUUCUAAGUAUUCAAACAGGGUCCUUUUGCCUUUCAGAUUGUAAUACAUUAGAUGAUAUGUGCAGGGGUAUAUACUUUUUUUUAAAUAAGAGCCCUGUGUUUGUAGAGGAAGGGGUAAAUGGCGCCACUUAACGACAUUUGUCAGAUUCAGGAAGCACCACUCCUAACUGCAUCCUUCUCCAGGCAACAUCUAGAGGAUAGCUGGGAGAGGAGAUGGAGAAGAGGAGUACUCUGGACAGGAGACAGGAACAUUCUUGGAACAUUCUUUCCAUGUUCACCAUCUGACUAAUAAGACAAUCUUAGUUACAGAUAGAACAGAGUAAUAGCCUCAGUAUAACUGGCAGAUGGAUGAUGAUACACACAAACAGUUAUAGCAACAGACCUUGACUACAGUCAUGUGACUUCUACAGGCACCGUAUCUACUGUAUAGACAACAGACCUUGACUACAGUCAUGUGACUUCUACAGGCAUCGUAUCUACUGUAUAGACAACAGACCUUGACACCGUCAUGUGACUUCUCCAGGCACCGUAUCUACUGUAUAGACAACAGACCUUGACACCGUCAUGUGACUUCUCCAGGCACCGUAUCUACUGUAUAGACAAC